NGAUGCGAUCAUACCAGCACUAAAGCAUCGGAUCCCAUCAGAACUCUGAAGUUAAGCGUGGGCGUUGUGGCGCGGCAA
rnacentral:rRNA from 1 species